rnacentral:rRNA from 1 species
CCCUUAGACGUUCUGGGCCGCACGCGCGCUACACUGACCAGUGCAACAAGCAUCCGUCCUUGGCCGACAGGCUCGGGCAAUCUUUGAACGCUGGUCGUGAUGGGGAUAGACUUUUGCAAUUUUUGGUCUUCAACGAGGAAUUCCUAGUAAACGCAAGUCAUCAACUUGCAUUGAUUACGUCCCUGCCCCUUGUACACACCGCCCGUCGCACCUACCGAUUGAAUGGUCCGGUGAAGCCUCCGGAUUGGCGCGCACCUCGGUGCCGCCGAGAAGUUGGCUAAACCUUACCAUUUAGAGGAAGGUGAAGUCGUANCA